GGCUGGAUGGGCCGGAGCGAUUCCCCUGAAAUCUGCCUGGAAUCCUGUGAAGAACCUCCUGGUGAACGGUGGAACUGCUUUCCAUGGAGCACCUGAGAGCAGCACACAGGAAUCCCUUCUCCCUGGAGGUGGGACAGUGCUGGGUCUGGCCCUUGAGGAGGGGCAGUGGGAGAGCAGAGCUGGGUGUUUACUUUUUUGUGAGUGCAGUAAUUGCCCUCACCAGGCUGAGAUGUGUUCUACAUCUUUCCCAGGACAAUGGAUGUGUCUGAUCAAAUCCAUCAGCCAGGGAGCAGUGCCAGAGGACAGUGAGAUCUUACAUCAAAAAUACAGCACAACUGGGGCCAGCCCUCUCCUCUUGAACCGUGAUGUCCUUACUGCUCUGGGUAGCCAGAAUGAACCCAUGUGCCACCAACAUCUCCACUGGCUUCAGAAAAAUUCCAGUCUGUGCCAAACUAUGAGACCUGAGGUCCUAAUCUUGCUUUCCAUCCCCAUCCCCCAUAUUUUUCCCCCUAUUUCCCAAUGUAUUGUGUAUUUCUUCCCUUUUCUCCCACUUUUUUUCCUUUUUUCCAAGUUUUUUAGUAGCUAGGAUUGUUUUGUAGCAUGUCAGAGAGCCUGUGAUCACAAAAGCUGCUUGAGCACAGUUUUAAAUAGUCUGGUUUUAUAAUCUCCACAGUUCUCUUUAUUUUCUGCCCUUUUUUGAGCUUGUUUUGUCUUUGAGGAAAGAAGAUCAAGCUGCACCAGAAACAGCAGUGGCAACAAAGCAUCCAGCUCACUUCAGCAUCUGUUUUUCUUUGCCAUCAAAAGUCCCAUUAGUUAUUUCCCUUGUUAGCACCCUCUGAUAGAUUUGCCAAACAGCACCCUUUGUGUGUUGAAACUCUGGUGACAAAAUAGAAAGGGAAAAAACAGAGGCUGAAUAAAGUUAUUUAAU